rnacentral:rRNA from 1 species
GUUUGAUCCUGGCUCAGGACGAACGCUGGCGGCGUGCCUAAUACAUGCAAGUCGAACGAACUCUGGUAUUGAUUGGUGCUUGCAUCAUGAUUUACAUUUGAGUGAGUGGCGAACUGGUGAGUAACACGUGGGAAACCUGCCCAGAAGCGGGGGAUAACACCUGGAAACAGAUGCUAAUACCGCAUAACAACUUGGACCGCAUGGUCCGAGUUUGAAAGAUGGCUUCGGCUAUCACUUUUGGAUGGUCCCGCGGCGUAUUAGCUAGAUGGUGGGGUAACGGCUCACCAUGGCAAUGAUACGUAGCCGACCUGAGAGGGUAAUCGGCCACAUUGGGACUGAGACACGGCCCAAACUCCUACGGGAGGCAGCAGUAGGGAAUCUUCCACAAUGGACGAAAGUCUGAUGGAGCAACGCCGCGUGAGUGAAGAAGGGUUUCGGCUCGUAAAACUCUGUUGUUAAAGAAGAACAUAUCUGAGAGUAACUGUUCAGGUAUUGACGGUAUUUAACCAGAAAGCCACGGCUAACUACGUGCCAGCAGCCGCGGUAAUACGUAGGUGGCAAGCGUUGUCCGGAUUUAUUGGGCGUAAAGCGAGCGCAGGCGGUUUUUUAAGUCUGAUGUGAAAGCCUUCGGCUCAACCGAAGAAGUGCAUCGGAAACUGGGAAACUUGAGUGCAGAAGAGGACAGUGGAACUCCAUGUGUAGCGGUGAAAUGCGUAGAUAUAUGGAAGAACACCAGUGGCGAAGGCGGCUGUCUGGUCUGUAACUGACGCUGAGGCUCGAAAGUAUGGGUAGCAAACAGGAUUAGAUACCCUGGUAGUCCAUACCGUAAACGAUGAAUGCUAAGUGUUGGAGGGUUUCCGCCCUUCAGUGCUGCAGCUAACGCAUUAAGCAUUCCGCCUGGGGAGUACGGCCGCAAGGCUGAAACUCAAAGGAAUUGACGGGGGCCCGCACAAGCGGUGGAGCAUGUGGUUUAAUUCGAAGCUACGCGAAGAACCUUACCAGGUCUUGACAUACUAUGCAAAUCUAAGAGAUUAGACGUUCCCUUCGGGGACAUGGAUACAGGUGGUGCAUGGUUGUCGUCAGCUCGUGUCGUGAGAUGUUGGGUUAAGUCCCGCAACGAGCGCAACCCUUAUUAUCAGUUGCCAGCAUUAAGUUGGGCACUCUGGUGAGACUGCCGGUGACAAACCGGAGGAAGGUGGGGAUGACGUCAAAUCAUCAUGCCCCUUAUGACCUGGGCUACACACGUGCUACAAUGGAUGGUACAACGAGUUGCGAACUCGCGAGAGUAAGCUAAUCUCUUAAAGCCAUUCUCAGUUCGGAUUGUAGGCUGCAACUCGCCUACAUGAAGUCGGAAUCGCUAGUAAUCGCGGAUCAGCAUGCCGCGGUGAAUACGUUCCCGGGCCUUGUACACACCGCCCGUCACACCAUGAGAGUUUGUAACACCCAAAGUCGGUGGGGUAACCUUUUAGGAACCAGCCGCCUAAG